rnacentral:rRNA from 1 species
GAUGAACGCUAGCUACAGGCUUAACACAUGCAAGUCGAGGGGUAGCAGGGCAGCAAUACCGCUGACGACCGGCGCACGGGUGAGUAACACGUAUCCAACCUUCCCAUAACUCGGGGAUAGCCUUUCGAAAGAAAGAUUAAUACCCGAUAGUACUUAUAUAGGGCAUCCUACAUAAGUUAAAGAUUUAUUGGUUAUGGAUGGGGAUGCGUUCCAUUAGAUAGUUGGUGAGGUAACGGCUCACCAAGUCUUCGAUGGAUAGGGGUUCUGAGAGGAAGGUCCCCCACAUUGGUACUGAGACACGGACCAAACUCCUACGGGAGGCAGCAGUGAGGAAUAUUGGUCAAUGGGCGAGAGCCUGAACCAGCCAAGUAGCGUGAAGGAUGAAGGUCCUAUGGAUUGUAAACUUCUUUUAUAGUAGAAUAAAGUGAUCCACGUGUGGAUUUUUGUAUGUAUACUAUGAAUAAGGAUCGGCUAACUCCGUGCCAGCAGCCGCGGUAAAAC